rnacentral:rRNA from 1 species
GGAUCAGGUAGGGAUACCCGCUGAACUUAAGCAUAUCAAUAAGCGGAGGAAAAGAAACCAACAGGGAUUGCCCUAGUAACGGCGAGUGAAGCGGCAACAGCUCAAAUUUGAAAUCUGGCUCUUUUAGAGUCCGAGUUGUAAUUUGCAGAGGGCGCUUUGGCUUUGGCAGCGGUCCAAGUUCCUUGGAACAGGACGUCACAGAGGGUGAGAAUCCCGUACGUGGUCGCUGGCUAUUGCCGUGUAAAGCCCCUUCGACGAGUCGAGUUGUUUGGGAAUGCAGCUCUAAAUGGGAGGUACAUUUCUUCUAAAGCUAAAUAUUGGCCAGAGACCGAUAGCGCACAAGUAGAGUGAUCGAAAGAUGAAAAGCACUUUGGAAAGAGAGUCAAACAGCACGUGAAAUUGUUGAAAGGGAAGCGCUUGCAGCCAGACUUGCUUACAGUUGCUCAUCCGGGUUUCUACCCGGUGCACUCUUCUGUAGGCAGGCCAGCAUCAGUUUGGGCGGUAGGAUAAAGGUCUCUGUCACGUACCUCCUUUCGGGGAGGCCUUAUAGGGGAGACGACAUACUACCAGCCUGGACUGAGGUCCGCGCAUCUGCUAGGAUGCUGGCGUAAUGGCUGUAAGCGGCCCGUCUUGAAACACGGACCAAGGAGUCUAACAUCUAUGCGAGUGUUUGGGUGUCAAGCCCGAGCGCGUAAUGAAAGUGAACGGAGGUGGGAACCCGCAAGGGUGCACCAUCGACCGAUCCUGAUGUCUUCGGAAGGAUUUGAGUAAGAGCAUGGCUGUUGGGACCCGAAAGAUGGUGAACUAUGCUUGAAUAGGGUGAAGCCAGAGGAAACUCUGGUGGAGGCUCGCAGCGGUUCUGACGUGCAAAUCGAUCGUCAAAUUUGGGCAUAGGGGCGAAAGACUAAUCGAACUAUCUAGUAGCUGGUUCCUGCCGAAGUUUCCCUCAGGAUA